rnacentral:rRNA from 1 species
GACGAACGCUGGCGGCGUGCUUAACACAUGCAAGUCGAACGGAAAGGCCCUGCUUUUGUGGGGUGCUCGAGUGGCGAACGGGUGAGUAACACGUGAGUAACCUGCCCUUGACUUUGGGAUAACUUCAGGAAACUGGGGCUAAUACCGGAUAGGAGCUCCUGCUGCAUGGUGGGGGUUGGAAAGUUUCGGCGGUUGGGGAUGGACUCGCGGCUUAUCAGCUUGUUGGUGGGGUAGUGGCUUACCAAGGCUUUGACGGGUAGCCGGCCUGGGAGGGUGACCGGGCACAAUGGUACUGAGAGACGGCCCAGACUCCUACGGGGGGCAGCGGGGGGGAAUAUUGCACAAUGGGCGGGAGCCUGAUGCAGCAACGCCGCGUGUGGGAUGAAGGCCUUCGGGUUGUAAACCGCUUUCGCCUGUGACGAAGCGGGAGUGACGGUAAUGGGUAAAGAAGCACCGGCUAACUACGUG